rnacentral:lncRNA from 10 species
UCUGCCUCCCCGGUUCAAGCGAUUCUUUUGCCUCAGCCGCCUCAGCAGCUGGGACUACAGGUGCAUGCCACUGUGCCUGGCUAAUUUUUUGUAUUUUUAGUAGAGACGGUUUCAUCAGGUUGGCCAGGCUGGUCUCAAACUCCUCGCCUCAAGUGAUCCACCCGCCUCUCAAAGUGCUGGGAUUACAGGCAUGAGACAGCACCUAGCCAGAAGAAUUUGACCCAGGGGGCAUAUGGUGGAAGGAAAGCCCAAGGCAAGUUUUAGAGCAGGAAUGAAAGGAAGGCAACACCUGGGCCUCAGGACUGCGUGAUGGGUGCCCCGUGAAAUCUAAUUCCACUGUGAACUAUGCUGACAUCCAUCAAGGCCUUUACCUCCUACCUCUUGGUUUGAAAUGGGUCUCCAAGACUUCCACCAUCCACAACUGAUCCAGAAAUGGCUCUGGCAGUACCCAAGGGUUCCUUGAAGGCAGGUCUGGGUCUGGUUCUCCGGAUCCCAACACCACGAGGUACUUUAUUUUAAAAGGAUUAAAAAAGCCACUGCUUGUCAAAUCUUGAACUAAAGGACUAACACCAAUUCUCAUAACAUCCUUAAGCCGGCCAUGUGAAAUGGGUGCUGUAAUUACCAUCCUAAUCUUAAGGGCAUGGAAAAUAAAGCACAGAGGGUAAAUCCUAUGGCUAAUCAGGAGCAGAGGUUGGUUUUGAUGUUGAAUGUGUGCACUCUGAGCCCAGAGUCGAUGACUAGAUAUAAAUGCAUCCAAGCCCAGCCCCCAAGAUGCUAGUUAGGUGGUGGCACAAGGUGGGGAUGUGACAAGGCAGCUGUUGCUUGCUGCUUUAUGAGAGGUACAGAUGGACAGACCCCAAGGAAUCACACUGAGCAACGUUUCAACCAGAAAUAGAAAUGGUCUUGGAAGGUGGAGGGCAGGACAGGCGUGCCCAGAAAAGCAGGAGCUGUAAUCCCAUCGUCACUUCCUCUGGCAACACGGGGACUGCCUGCCAUGCCCUAACUCCUCCUUGUGCUUUUGGCCUUCGCCUAAGAGUUCCUUGGAGUUUCUUCACAGCAUCUGUAGCCAUCUGAAGUGUCAUCUUCUGUACUAUAUUGCCAGUGCCUACAAUUACGACUGGUAUACUCAACCAGGCGGCAGUGGUCUUGUACAAUCUCUCUCUGUAUUCUCAAGUCCCCAUCUGCGAGCAUGGCUACUGGAAAUAACUGCAGCUGUAUACUGACUUAAAGAUCCAAAAAUCCCAGGAAGGACCCCAGAGCUGUGAGCCAGAAGCCCAAGGCCCUCCCAGCCUGAAAGCCCCAGGCCAAGCCUGAACUAUAUGCAGUCAUCCCCAUGAGAAUAUAAACUCCAUGAGGGCAGCAACUUGGCUGGCCUGUGUGCCAGUGCUGGGGACAUCACUGAGAAAUGAAGGCCCAUUUGGCAGGCUAUUUUUGAGCAAGAUUCCUGAGGCCCAAUCGUUGGGUGAUGAGAUGGACCCGAGGUAUUUCACUCCAGCUCUCGAGCCAAAAGAACUGACCACGUCCUCACCACUGCUCUGCGCCAGAUUUCAUCCAAGCAAAGAGAGGAUCACAUGGAGAUGAAAACACCCCACUUCCUUCAUCUGGAUGACACCUUGUUUAGAAGCCCAUCACUCGGCCAGAGAAGAAAUAUUUAGAUUGAGAAACAGCUUUUUGUUGUGCCCUAAGCCCAUUCUACCUUUAUGAUUCAACUAAAAAUUUAUUUCCACUUAAAUAAAACCAGCAAUUCUGAGCUUCCCCUCCCGUCACAGGUUUCCUCCCAGAAAGUCUAUCAUGAAAAUACUGCUCAAAAAUCAUCUGUAAAAAGGUAAAUUAACACAUAUUCUUGGCUCCCUCUUCCUUAUCUCAGCUAUUCAGCCUCUACACUUUUUCAACUAUUUUAUCACCUUUUUUAAAUAGGCAACACAGGAGUGUAGAAUAAGAGCAUGAGGGGGGUGAAUACAUGAAAAAGUGAGUCUUCCCACCUUGGUCCUCCACUAAGUGACGGUUACUUUUUAAUGUGUCUUUCUACAGGUAUACAUUACACAUAGAAGCACGUAUGUAUGCACCGGUGGAAGUAUAUAUCCUCAUAUUUGGUGUUUGGUUUUUUUUUUUUUUUUGUAGAUUGAGACUGUGUCUCCCAGACUGGAAUGUAAUGACACAAUGUCAGCUCACUCCAACCUCCACCUCCCGGGUUUAAGUGAUUCUCCUGCCUCAGCCUCCCAAGUAGGUGGGAGUACAGGCGUGCACCACCAUGCCUGGCUAAUUUUUGGAUUUUUAGUAGAGAUGGGUUUUCCUCUUGUUGGCUAGGCUGGUCUCACACUCGACCUCAGGUGACCCAACCACCUUGGCCUCCCACAGUACUGGGAUUACAGGUAUAAGCCUCUGUGUCUGGCCCAUAUUUGCUAUUUCUAAAAUUAGAAAGGUAUUGUGUGGUACUCUUCCAUGCUUUAUCCUCUUAGUAAUAAUGUCAUGGAGAUUUUUUCCAUAUCACUACAUGCGGUAUGGAAGGUAUUCCCUUUACAUGUGAGUGUACAUCAGCCUCAGUAUUCUAGCCCAUAGGUUGGCAAACUUCCUAUAAAGGGUGAGACUAAACAUACUAGGCUCCAGGGAGGCAUUCCAUCUCAGUUACAACUCAACUUUGCCCUUAUAAUAAGAAGCUAUACAUGAAGUGUGAAUGACUGGGCAUGUUCCAAUAAAACUUUACUUAUAAAAAACAGGUGGAGGGUAAGAUUUGGCCUGUGGGCCAUCAUUUUCUGAUCUCUGUUCUAGUCUGAACCAUCUUUGGCUGUUUCACCACAGUCAUGCGGCCAAGGAGGCAAGGCCUGGCCACACAGGGCACAGAAGCCAUGAUGGGCCUUGUCUGCAAGUAGAAAUCACCUGCUAAUCACCAACAGGUCUCAAAGUAAAUGCUGGAACACACUUUGUAGGGUGACUCUCCUGGCCCCAAGCAGCAUCUGCGACAUCAAGAUGCCGGGCCUUGGGACUGCCUCAAGCUGGUUUCGGCAGCUAUGCUCUUUACAGAGCGUGUGGAGGGCAAGGACUCUGGAGUAGAAAAAGGUGCAGGUCUUAGGGCUGGGGUCCCAGGGUGGAAGCCCACUCCAUGCCUUACUGGCUAUUUGAGAUAGAGGAUGAAAAAUGGCAUGAACAUCUUUGUAUGUGUGAGGAUCUUCCUGUUGCCCACGCUGGAGUUCAAUGGUGCAAUCUUAGGUCACUGCAACCUCCACCUCCCAGGUUCAAGAGAUUCUCCUGCCUCAGCCUUCUGAGUAGCUGGGACUACAGGUGCACACCACCACCCAUGGCUAAUUUUUGUAUUUUUGGUAGACAUGGGGUUUUGUCAUAUUGACCAGGCUGGUUUCCAACUUCUGACCCUGAGUGAUCUACCACCUCAGCCUCCCAAAGUGCUGGGAUUACAGGGAUGAGCCACCAUGGCUGGCAGACACAAGCAUCGUGAGGGGUGCCUAGCCCCUGCAGACACUCCAUGAACAGCAAAUGUGAUAACUGCUAAAUCAAAACUACCCCAGAAUUUUCCAUCUGCUAUGUCCCCAAGAAAUGACACUGUAACAGGGAGCCGAACACUAUGAUGCCUGCCCAGCUGCAAGAGUGGACUCACCUAAGAUACUCCACAAGCUUUUUAUGCUGUUACAACGGACCCAAAGCACGGGAGAGCAGGGGCCUCACUUGUGCUGUUGCUUGAGAGUUCCCUAAAUGCCAGGCCAUAGCAGGUACUGAAGAAUACCUACAGCCCGAGUGAGUGCUGCUAUGUGUAGGGUUCAGGCCAAGGGCCCUGGCUGCAGAGCAGAGGAACUGAGAGCUAGACAGGGCUGGGCCUGCCAUAGGAAAACAACAGCCCAGCUAUGACCCAGCACUGUGGUGGCUGGGGGAUGAGAGAUGAGCUCAGCACAGAAAACACCUUGGAGCCCUGGAUGUACCCCUCCUACACCAGUACAAUGCCCUGCAGUGCUCUGGGCUUUAAACUUCACUUCUUGCUGAGUUGACACCAAAUGAGGCCCCUGAAGAGCCUCUUCUGCUGUGGGGCUUGGACAGAGUACCCGGGCCUGGAGUGGGACUUACAGGGAAGCCAGCAUCAUAGAAAAUCCCUAGAGGGAAUUCCCAGAAGGCUGCACCCUCAAAGCAUCUGGUCCAGACAAGACAACCCUGACUAGUCAUCCUGAAAGCCCGGUGCUGUCCAAAAGACACAGAUGCCAUGGUACAGGGAUGUGGCACAGUGGGGAGCCAGAGGUAGGUUACAAAGGAGACCUUAGAAGGUGUGGGACUCCCUUCCAUGUGGGUGCAGAGUGCCCACUGUCAUUCCCCAUGGAGGCACCAAGCCAGGAGAGUAGGGCUCCAGGGACAGUAGCUUCCAGCCUUCCCAGUCAGGUCCACAUCUGGUGAGCCAGAAGGAAGGAAAUGUAACCUAACACUGUGGCAGGAUCCAGCGUGGCCUUGUGGGAGGCGCUGUGGGAUGAGCAAGAGAGCAAAUGUGUGUGGCCAAGAUGAAGAAUGAACAGGGAUAGAAAAUUCCUACUUGUCCCAAGAAAUAGACCUCAAUGUCCCUUAGCAACAUCUUUUUAUGUCAUGCCUGACCGUGUGUGUGCCAGGGGUGGUGCUUGCCUUACCAAUAUGAGCAGUGCAAAAGUCCAGGAUGCCACGUUCACUCGAGACCCCUGUGCCAUGCUGUCUCCCAAAAGACUGAGCACCUUGAGGGCAGACUGGGAAUUGAGGUAUCCCUGAACCCCUAAGAGCAGCUCCUAUACAGCCCUAGAACUGCUGCUGAAGGAAGUGGCUCAUUUUGCUAAACUCCAGUUUGGAAUCUGGGGCUCAGUAAGGCUGUCCCUGCAGAGCAUUCUUGAGCCCAUUCUGUUCGGUAGCCAGGCAAGUGUGAGCAGCUGCAGCUUCACAGGAGGAGGCUUAGAGGGGCAGUGAUGGGUGCCAUGCUAUGCAGAUCCCAGACAGGAACGCGGGGGCCAGGUUUUAUUACAGGAGAUGGUGCUUGGGGUGGGAAUCAUAUCUCCAUCCCAUGGGACAGCUUAGUGGUGCUGAGGCUGACUUCGUGGGGGUGUAUUUAAUCCUCGUGAGGGAGGGGGAUGUUAACCACAGCUCAGGACUCUGUUCUUCCAGUUCCUCUUUCUCUCACACCCACAUUGAAACCAGCAAGUUCUGGUAGUUCUACUUUGAGAAUACCCCUUCCCAGGCUGCCUGAGGCACCAUCCCCUCUCCCCGGGGUGCCCACAUGGUCCCCUAACUACCUGUUCUAUCACCCAUAACAAAGCUCUACCCUUUGCUGACUCCACAUGGCAGCUAGAGUUCCCUUGGCUGCAAGGCCUCUCUGUUCCUGGGCUACCCUGGCUUCCUUGCUGUUUCUCCCAGGGGCCAACUCUUCAAGGCUGCAGGACCUUUGCACCUGCUGUGUCCACUGCCUGGCUCCCUGCCUCAGGUCUCCACUUCGGGUCAAACUAUCCCUGUCAUCUUCCUAGACCAUAAACAGCACAUCCCCAGCAGGCUUCUUUCCCUCUGUGAUGACUGUGAUGUCAUUUCCUGUCUUUUCACUGGAAAUCGCCACCUCACAUAGGCAUGUCUGCCUCACUAUUCAAUGUCUGUGUCCCCCAUGAAAACAGAUGCUUUAUCUGCUGUUGAACUAUCAGGAUCUGAAAUGGUGCACUGGCUUCCAGCUGCACUCCUAGCCCUGGAAAAACCAAACCAGCCUGAUCUUACUGGUGACUGUAUAAUCUUAAUCCCUUUAUUUUCAUAUAUUUUGAAAGCAAUCCUAAUUGUCUGUAUUUAAAAUUUCCUUUGUUGCAUGGAAGGUAGCUGUUUAAAUGUCUAAUUUUCUCCUAUCUUCUUAGUUUUCUAGUCAAAAUAAUAGCUUUAAUCACAGUGGGUCUAGAUGGAUUCAAAAAGGAAGAUUUAUCCACUCUUCUUGGUAAUUGUUU